rnacentral:sRNA from 1 species
GGGAGUUCUAGAGAGAAAGAGAAGAAACGAGAGUUUAUUCUUCAA